GCGGCUGCCGCUGCGGCCCGGGCGCUCGAGGUGCUGGGUCUGGCGGGGCCGAGGGGCGGGCAGGCCGAGCGCUUGCGGCUCGGAGAGCAGCCGCCCGCGGCACGAGAGCUGGGCCGGCGCGGCUGAGGCGGGCGGCAGGUGCUGGGCGGUUUUCGAGCCGCCUCCUCGGAGCCGGGAGCUGAAUCCCCCUUUCCGAAAAUUCUUACGUAGCUUUUGCCACGCAUGGCGCCGCGACUUCAUUUUUAACGUUGACCAAAUUAAUACCAGCGUAGGUGAUAUGCUGAAAAUAGAUGAUGCAGGCAAUCGACUUCGUUUCCAGCUGGAGUUAGAGUUUGUUCAGUGCCUGGCAAAUCCAAAUUACCUCAACUUUCUUGCACAAAGAGGGUACUUCAAAGACAAAGCAUUUGUAAAUUAUCUUAAAUAUUUGCUUUACUGGAAAGAACCCGAAUAUGCAAAAUACCUGAAGUAUCCUCAGUGUCUGCACAUGUUAGAGCUCCUCCAGUACGAACAUUUCCGCAAAGAACUGGUAAAUGCUCAGUGUGCUAAAUUUAUUGAUGAGCAACAGAUUCUUCACUGGCAGCACUAUUCACGGAAAAGAAUGCGCCUCCAGCAAGCACUUGCAGAGCAGCAGCAACAAAACAACACCUCUGUAAAAUGAAAAACACUUGAAGAGUGAGGAUAAGGCACACUUUGUGUCAGCAGAAGUACUUGCAAAGAGGAACAAGCGCUUUUGAGCAGACACUGCAACUGUUAAUGCUUAAAAUGUGAUCAGUGACACCAAGGCUGUCAAGACUUCAGCUUGGCAUACUUCAACUGAACAGAUAAGCCACUAAACCUCGUCGACAUUUAUUUUAACAUCUUCAGUAGCUGUGUGAGGUCAGACUUAGGAAAAAAAUUCCUUCCCGUUUCCCCCUCCCACUGUCCAAUUUAAAGGUAUAACGUGGUAGUUAAGUCUUACUGUUCAGUAAUUGUAGGCAGCUCUCAGUUUCUAACAGGAGUUCAGUUCCUUUGAAAAGAUACUGUUUGCAAACUCAAGUUUAUUUGAACAUGAAAAGAAAGAUACUUUAUUUUGUUGCAAGAUUUUACUGGAAAAUUUGUAUCUAGAAUUUAAUGGUGUUUACCUUGAUUUGUUUGAAGUACUUAACCAUGAAAAUUUUAAAAAAGGUUAAAGAUUCCUUGAAAGGACAUUGCAAGUAACUCAAGAUUAACAUCAUCGUAAAUUAUUGACUGCUUGAGGGCUUAGUCUUCAGUAAACAACAUCCGCACAAGUUCUGCUUUAAAACAUUCUUCUUCAACCAGCUUCUGAGGCUGAAAAAAAAAAAAAAGGUGUUUUAGGAGCGGUUCAAAAACCUGUUGCAGAAUAGAGUCAUUUGUACAUACUAACAUGAGCCAUACUCCAGCAUACUUUUCUAGGGGGUGGGGUGGAGACAGCAAGGUAAGAAUAACUGAAAAAAUGCCUGAGGGUUUUCUAAGAAAGUAACUGCUAAUUUAAAUAACAGGCACAAGUUAAAACUUGACCCAUAGUCUGAGUCAAGAGUGUACUGCACAUACUUGUUUCACUCCUGUAAUUUGGAAUUUGCAUUUUUUUAAAUUUGAGGAGCUGCAAGUCGGGAAGCUAAAUAUGUUGCUGAGAAUUUUCCCUCCUUAACUUUCUAUGAUUGUAUACACAGCAUUAUACAGAAGGCAGUGUUUCUCUCUUGAGGAACUGUCACAGCCAGGAAGAGUGCAUGGGUGGCACUGGAAGAGCUGUUGCUCAUCAUGUCUUGUUUUAAAUGAUAGGGUAUCGGAAAACAAGCAUGACUAAUUCAUGAACAGCUACAAGUGCCUGCCGGUUUCCCAUUUGAAUUGCUGUGGAUCUAGAAAAAAUAAAUCACUUACUGUUCCAUAUUUAAGUAGUGUAGGCACUCCUGUUAGCUUCAGAUUCUUCCUGAAUUCAUUGUUGGGAUCUUUCCAGCUGUUCAGGAAGAAGGUAAGCACAGCUUGUAGAGUUGCAGAUUGAAGUUAGCUUAUUAAAAUUCCUUCAAAAGGAUGAUUCAAAGGUCUUUGCCUCAUACCUCCCCACCCCACUUGUUGGAACAAGCAUGCAAACAAUUCACAUUAGGGAUGAUGUGUAGACCUCAAAAUUUAAGAAAUGCCUCAUAGCGUGCAGAAAAAUACAGUUCAGUCAGUUUUUCCAAGAGGUUAGUUAGACUCCAGUUGCCAAAUAGCAAAGUUACAUUACCUGUUGGCACUAAAACAGUUACUUACUAGGCUCUGUCUCCUACUAGGCAAUAGAUGAAUACAGACUCAUCAGGCAUGUUAUGAAGUUCCAUCCUCACCACUGGUUCAGCUAGAGAGUAAUGUUCAAAAUCUAUUAGUGGUUAAUAUUCUUAUUAUGGCACAGAAUCAAUUAUCUAAUUUGACCAGCAAGGCUCUUAAUGUUUUCUGCUUCAGGUAAAGACCUGUGUUUUGUUUCAUCUGGUUCUCCACAAUCUUUGCAGACUGCAGUUUAUGUGCUGAGUGGUGAAGGGACUUUCAUUAAAGGCUCUAUAUGAAAGCCCAUCAGAACAGUAGUAAGCAGCUGCCAUAUGUAUUUAGGUGUAUAUGAUCCAGAAAGUUUAAUGCAGUGUUUUCUGAGGAACUGCUUUAAUCUUCUGCUGUGAGAUACUGAGUGGUGUGUCACCUCUGCCUCUGAAGAUGUGAAGCAGAGGUGAAUUAACCAAUUGCAAGAUUCACAUCUACAUGUUUGCUGGGCAUUUGUACCAGCCUCUGCUGAAAAGCACAUUACAUUACAUGGCAUUUAGUAGAAUGCAGCUAACAGAACAGAGCUAGCUCCUGAUCCGCCUGCACUGCCAGUUAGUCACGGGCUUGGUAGGCAUCUAGAGCUUGAAACCUGAACCUCAUCCACUCUGCUCACGGUCCUCGAUAAUGAGGCUGGGUACGGAGAUGGGCUGUCACGAGGCCACUCUGCACCAGGAGUCCAGCUUGCGUGUUCCGGAACGAGCACCCAGGGCCUCUCCGGCUUUCUCAGGCAAAGGAGGGAGAGGCAGGGGCGUCCCGCCGCAAAGCCGACCCGAGGGGCAGCAGUCAGUGCGGUACCCCCGCGCCGGGGGCCUGCGAGAGCCGAGGGAUAAGGGCGAGAGCCGCCGCCCGGGGCGCCGCCA